rnacentral:lncRNA from 1 species
AAGAGAAUACGAAAUGGAAACAAGGGCUAUCGCUUUCAUUGUUGGGUUCAAGGAUCCAAACUUUCAAAGCCAAAUCUUAGAAAAGAGCUACGGCACCAGCACCGGCACCAGCACCAGCACCAGCACGCGUGCGUGUUCGAGAACAAGACAGCGACUGGUGACCAUCCUUUUGCAAUAAGUGAGUUGAGCUUCAGGGCUCAGGCUGAGGCAUUUUUAAUUUUCUUACUCACAGUUAAGCAGAACUAACAUAGUCGAGAUAGCAAGAGAGCAUAGAACAAAUGGCAUGAAACAGUUCAGUAUAUUAUCCGAAGAGUUUAAUACACUGGACUGGACAGGACAUUAUUAAGAAGAACAAAUUCUGCAGCAUUAGCGGCACAGGUCAUACAAAAAAGGGGACACACAAGAAGUAAAGAAAGAGAUGAAUGUCCAUCAAGAAGACUUGACUUCUGCAUCUAGUUUGAAAUAUGUGGCUAAGUAACAAAAGGCUCGUCCAAGUUUUAUAGUACUCCUGUCCACAUGCGUACAUGAAACAGUAAUUAACAAUGGAGUUUCCAAGCAGAAAUUUUCACUUCCACGACUGUAAGUCCCUUCUAGUAGUCAAAUUGAAGUGUUCCUUGAAAACUAAAAAAUUUAUAGCAAACAUGUACUCCAUCAUUUUGCUUGAUUAAGUAAUAGUAACACUAAUAUCCAAAUAACAAGCAUGACUGAAAUAUUUCUUGACAAGUUCAGCAGCUAUCAAACAACCAACCGUAUAUCAUUUUGCUUAAUUGAGUAAUAAUAACACCAAUUUCACAUCACUUGAUUAUUAUUCCACAAACCAACAGAAACACUAGGCAUCUCUCUCCUAAUUCCUCAAUCAUCCAAUAGCAUGUUGAACCAGAUUUUACACCAAGAAAUAAAUAAUUCCAAGCAAAAGUGAACAAGAUUAAUAACCUAUUUACUUUUAGAUUCCAGAAUUGACUAAUCUUUUAUCUGUUCCAUACUUGGUGCAAGUUUACCCAUCAAAAUAAAUAAAAAAGAAUCUUAUGAAAAUGAUUAUAUAAACUCAAGUGUAAGACGCUGCAUUAGUUGCCAAAUAAAUCAUUUCCUGGGAAAAUAAGGGAAGAGAGGACGUGCAAAAAGAAAUGAGAGCAAAAAACAUCACAACAACAACAAUGAUGCUUAGAUACUUGUACUCAAAACAUUAUAAAAGAAUUCUUCAAAUAAAACCAAGCAGGCUCUCCCAAUAAAUGCUUUAGCAGCUAUCACAAAGGCAAGAUAUCAAUUUGUUUAAAUAUGUAGCCAAAAGUAACACCCGUUUUUGUCAGUAUCUCAGUUUGUGAGACAAGCAGGACAGGGCAGCUACCAUUGCAUAGUUACAGUUCAGGAAUACUUUAAAGAGCACAGCACCAGAGAAAUGCUCUUCUUCACAUAGCAAAAUGUUAGAUAUAUCUCAUUGCAACUUAUCAUCCAACAAAAAGUGUAUUUAUAAGUUUAACAAAGAUAUAACUUGGCAUUCAUAGACUGAUGAAAAGAACAUAGAAUAUACUAGGGCCAAAUACAACAGCAGAGGAAUUUUUUAUACCUACACUCGUAAUUUAGAGUCAGGUGACUAGAAUACCUGUAAUUUAUCUAACUCAUAGCGACCCAUGAAAAGUUUUUGAAAACAUAAUCAACAGAACCCCCAACACGAUUUUUUUUUUAUAAAAAAAAUUAGUUUUUAACAUGUGAAUAUAGUUGACCUAAUUGUAAUAUGUGAAAAUUCUAACUAGUUGUAAUAUGUUUAAAUACAAUACCUACUUGUAUUAUUUGCAUGUACAGAAAGCAGAAACAUUUUUAUUUUUUUUAAAAACCUGGAAACAUGACCGUUGGCAAUAUGAAGAAAUUAAUGGAUCAGCGAUUCAUGUUGCCUGCAGCUGUGAUAGUCAAUGCCAUAAAUUUUUAAAAGAAGGCACACGGAGGCCGGAGAGUAUAAAAGCAGGUUGAUGCCCUCUUUCUUAAGUUAGCAUAUGCCAACAGAACAGAGUUUCAAGUACUAAAACUUGUCAACACACUAUAAACAGAGUACACAGACAGAUUGUUAAGCUUUGCUUCCUGAUUUAACAAAAAAAAUGAUCACAAAAUCAAACCGAGAGAUCAUUCCAAAAAAGAUACGUCAUAAACUAAUUAAGUAAUAUACAUUCGAAAAUGAAUUCUUUAGACAGAUUACUUAGAAACCAAUGUUACAAAAAUUAAGAUUUAAGGUACUAAUUGAUCUUACACAUGCAUUUUGCUUCAUGCAGAAUUGUAGAACAUUAAAGUCUGACAAGUUUUGGUCCAGAUUAUUUCAUCAGCAGAACAAAGAAGAAAAGAGCAUCAAAUUUGGAGUAUACGGAAGGCAAAGUAACGUGCAAAACUGUCUAAUCAACUCAACAACACUUUCUAUAUCAAACUAGUUGGGGAAGGAUCAUAUGAGUCUCAUAUGUAAGCUUAAAAGUAGAAAGGCAAGACCAUGGAUAAUUCAUUUCAUUGUAAAAGUCAAUAAAAGAAAAUUGAAUUGCUCAGAUACUUCUACAUCAGAAAGAUCUUCAAG